UGCCUGUGGGUCAAGAUGUGAGAACUCUCAGCUGUUUGUCCAGCACCGUGUCUACCUACUUGUCACCAUGCUUCCCACCGUGAUGAUAAUGGGCUAAACCUCUGAACUGAGAUGACUCAGUGGAUAAAGUGCUUGAGGACACCAGCAUAAGGACCCAAGCUUGGAUUCCCCGCACCCCUGUGAAGCCAGGCACAAAAGUACACAUCUGUAUAGCCGCACCUCUGCAGGUACAAAACAAGGCUGAAUUUUCCAUGAUGUGGGUAGCGGUGGCCAAGGAAGGAGGUGAGCAAUGGCCAAGGAAGGAGGUGAGCAAUGGCCAAGGAAGGAGGUGAGCGAUGUGUCCACCCAGAUUCCUGCUGAGUUGAUGGAAGCCUUUCCUGUCUGACCUGCCCUGAGGAAGGAUUGCCUGCUGAGGCACGUAUUGAUGACUGGGGGAGACAGGACUGAGAGGAUGAUGGGAAAGGACCUGCAGACAUGCAGGGGAAAUCCAGAGGAUGAAGGUUCAGUGUGGCAAUUGCUGAAUUUAAGCGGGAGUUCUUCAGAAUGUUUUUUAGGGGUCAUUGACCUCAACAUAGGAGAUGACUGUGGUGGGGUGGCUCAGCCAACUAUGAGUGCUGCUCCCCCCAGGCAGUGGUCCUGGGUUGUAUAAGAAAGCAAGCUGAGCAAGCCAAGGAGAAGAGCCAGUGAGCAGCGUCCUCCACGAUUCCUGCCUCAGCUUCUGCUUGAGUUUCUGCCCUGAUGGAGUGUGAUGGAGAUGGACACUAUGACCGUUAUUCUGGGCUGUCAACUGGACUGGAUGGAUCUGGACUCAACUAAGAGACAAGUUGCCAGGCAUACUUGGGAGAGACUUUGGACCAGGGUAUUUGGAAUGGGAAGACCCACCACAAAUGUGGACGGCCCCUCCGGUGGAAGCUUGGCUUUUUCCUCACUGUCUUUCAUUCUUACUGUGAGGUCACCUGCUCCCUCACGGCAGCCCCUGCGGCU
rnacentral:lncRNA from 1 species